UGCCAGCAGCCGCGGUAAUACGUAGGUGGCAAGCGUUGUCCGGAUUUAUUGGGCGUAAAGCGAGCGCAGGCGGAAGAAUAAGUCUGAUGUGAAAGCCCUCGGCUUAACCGAGGAAUUGCAUCGGAAACUGUUUUUCUUGAGUGCAGAAGAGGAGAGUGGAACUCCAUGUGUAGCGGUGGAAUGCGUAGAUAUAUGGAAGAACACCAGUGGCGAAGGCGGCUCUCUGGUCUGCAACUGACGCUGAGGCUCGAAAGCAUGGGUAGCGAACAGGAUUAGAUA
rnacentral:rRNA from 1 species